rnacentral:rRNA from 1 species
CCCAGACUCCUACGGGAGGCAGCAGUGAGGAAUAUUGGUCAAUGGGCUUACGCCUGAACCAGCCAAGUCGCGUGAGGGAAGACUGCCCUAUGGGUUGUAAACCUCUUUUGUCAGGGAGCAAUUGGCGCUACGUGUAGCGUUAUCGAGAGUACCUGAAGAAAAAGCAUCGGCUAACUCCGUGCCAGCAGCCGCGGUAAUACGGAGGAUGCGAGCGUUAUCCGGAUUUACUGGGUGUAAAGGGAGCGUAGACGGCAGUGCAAGUCUGAAGUGAAAGCCCCGGGCUUAACCCGGGAAUUGCUUUGGAAACUGUACGGCUGGAGUGCUGGAGAGGUAAGCGGAAUUCCUAGUGUAGCGGUGAAAUGCGUAGAUAUUAGGAGGAACACCAGUGGCGAAGGCGGCUUACUGGACAGUAACUGACGUUGAGGCUCGAAAGCGUGGGGAGCAAACAGGAUUAGAUACCCUUGUAA